UACGUAGGGGGCAAGCGUUGUCCGGAUUUAUUGGGCGUAAAGAGCGUGUAGGCGGCUUUACAGGUCCGUUGUGAAAACUCGAGGCUCAACCUCGAGACGCCGGUGGAAACCGUAAAGCUAGAGUCCGGAAGAGGAGAGUGGAAUUCCUGGUGAAGCGGUGAAAUGCGCAGAUAUCAGGAGGAACACCCGUGGCGAAAGCGGCUCUCUGGGACGGUACUGACGCUGAGACGCGAAAGCGUGGGGAGCAAACAGG
rnacentral:rRNA from 1 species